rnacentral:rRNA from 1 species
AUAUUGGUCAAUGGAUGCAAGUCUGAACCAGCCAUGCCGCGUGCAGGAAGAAGGCCCUAUGGGUUGUAAACUGCUUUUGCCAGGGGAUAAAAAGAGCUUGCGAGCUUAAUUGAAGGUACCUGGUGAAUAAGCCACGGCUAACUACGUGCCAGCAGCCGCGGUAAUACGUAGGUGGCAAGCGUUGUCCGGAUUUAUUGGGUUUAAAGGGUGCGUAGGCGGUUGUAUAAGUCAGUGCUGAAAUAUCCCGGCUUAACCGGGAGGGUGGCAUUGAUACUGUAUGACUUGAGUAAAGUUGAGGUUGGCGGAAUUGACGGUGUAGCGGUGAAAUGCUUAGAUAUCGUCAAGAACACCGAUAGCGAAGGCAGCUAACUAAGCUUUAACUGACGCUGAGGCACGAAAGUGUGGGGAUCAAACAGG